GAUGGAUUUCUACUACAAUAUUUUAUAAAAAAUAUCCAUUAAUUUUAAUCCUAUCCCAAGAAAAAUAUUAAUUUUUCUAAUAUAUUUUGCGAGUUUAUAUAUCUUUAAAAUUUCUAAGCCGCUCCUGUUCGCAUUGUAAAGGUUAGGAAAUUUCCUAUUUAUUUGUGUAGCAAUAACCAACUACGUAGAUUGUUAUUGAAAACAUCCAUUAUUCGAGAAUGAAUCCUCUAAAAGGUUCAGUGUUUUUCCUUUAAGUUUUGAGCGCUAAAAAUCCCAUGUUAUUAUUGGUCUGCAUUUUGAAAGAUCCUUGAGUUGUAGUUGACGAUUGGUCAAUAGUUUUGGCCGAACGAUCGAGAAGAAAUGCAUCGUUUGGACGCGAGAGAGACGUGACGAUGUAAAGUUAGUUCUAAAAGUACAUCACUUCAGUAAACAUCUUUUUGUUAGAACUCAACCAACAGACUCGUAGAAAGUCGCACUUUGCCGGCAAAAUGGUUUUAUUUUUAUGGUAAAAGAAGUGAAAGACUGGCAGUUUGCCCAGUAAAUGUCAACGAAUAUAAUGACAAUAGUUUCACGGCAUUUUAAUGGAUAUAUUAUUGUGAAACAGUUCUAUUGUUAUGCAGUUAGAUUUGCCGGUGGUAUAAAAAAGAAGUGCGUGGUUUCCUGGUUCCUGUCCUUUAUGUAGCUGUUGCUAUUUUUAUGAUAUAUGGAUUUGUUCAUGUUCCAGUAAGAAAUGCCCGGAUGAUAUUAUUUGGUAUCGAUUUUAUCCAGUUUUGUAAUGAUUUGAAUAUCUUCCCCUCCCAGCCCCGUCUGAAUGGAAAAUUUUGAAGUUCCAAGUGUUGUGACAUGGAUUUUUGUUUUAACAAGGUAUGAUAAUGUUUAUUUUAAAUAAUUCACAAGUGGAUAUUAUUGGUAAAGGUUUUACAUAAUUAAAAAUGUUUGUUUUCAACAUGGAAAAUAUAUUAUGUAAAGUAAAUAUUAGAUGGCAGUGACAUUUGACAGCCAUGUCAAAUUUUUGUUUUGGUACACUGCUAAAAAUAAGGUUAAAAAUUGUAAAAUCAUGUAUUUUGUUAUUAUUAUUCAUUUCUGGUUUGAGAAUGUGUCUAUUCUCAAUAAAAAUAAAAAGGUAUUAAGGUUUAAAUAAACAUUAUAAAAUGUACACAUCUUUAUUUCUGUAACCUCUUUAUUUAAGAAAAUUAUUAACAGAUAUCUAAUACAAGUGAAUAAGUUUUAGAACAGAAGAAAAUAUAAUGGCAUAGAAGCCAAAUGAUGAUAAUUUGUAGCCCACUAUAACCCCAAUGAGGAAUCUACGAUGAAUGUCCCCCAGUUUCUUUCCAGUAAGUACUCGAUAUGAGAAUUUGAGGAUUUUUCAAACGGCGUCCCAAUUUGUUUAAAUAGUAGGAAAGUCCUCAAGUCUGUGUAAGUAUCCUUUGCUUAUUUGGUUAUGUAGUUUAGUCUUCUUUAAACCCUCCUACCCCUCCCAACGAAUCUACGACCUGCCACCGCACAAAAAAUGAGCUGCCGUUCGCAUGAAGGUUUGCGUGUCUGUUCCUUCUGCUAGCCCCAUUUCGACUCCCCAGUAUCUCUAUAGAUAGUCUUUCCUUGAUCCCAUUAGAGCAGACAGGUAAAACGCUUCAACUGGCGCCCAACGUGUGAGGCCGAUUCAUUUUUCUGCCUCCUUCAGUAUCCAGUAGUUGUCUUGUCCAGUUGAAUGCUUCAGCUGGCCCCGACAACGUGGGGCGUGUUAUUUCUACCCCCUGACCCCAUUAGCAUGUGCCCACUACCAUAUCCCUUUAGCCUCCUUUCGGUCUCAUUUGUACUACAACUGUUAGGCAGUGCCCGUCUUGGGUAGCCGAUCUCAGUUUGUGGUGCAAGUGUUUCCGAUAACAUGGAAGCUCGACUCUUGUCAUUUUUUGUAUGCCCAUUGUUACAAGUCUAGCUUGUAGACAUGUUCAACUAGUAGUUAGCCUAUCUACUAGUCCCCAAUGUCUUUAGCCACUCCCACUUAGUGUUACACUUGUAAUACUUGUAACGUACACCCUGAAGUUUGACCCGAGUAAAUAUCGCCCAAGUCUUCCCAUGUAGUUUAGCCCAGAUUCCUCUUGUCUUGCCCCCAGAAACUGUUUCAUGUCUGUUAGUGCCCCCGAAACUGUUUCAGUCUGUUAGUCCCCAUGAAAGAGCCCAUUUUUGUAGUUUUUGUUGCAGAAUGUUAAUAAUUUUUCCAAAGAGGUGUAAGUAUGUACACAUUUUGUUGUGAUGUUGAUUUGGUCAUGCUGUUGAUUGUAUAGGCAUGUACCAUUUCAUACAUCAUAGUGUAUUUAACUUGUAACCCCAUAUGUAUACUGGUAUUGUAUUGUAUUGUAUGUAUCGUACAAGAGAAUAGUAUGUUUAAUAUAGUAGCGUACUUACUAUAUUGUAUUGAUAUUGUACCCAUGAUGAAAGCAUUGGUUAAAUUUUUUGGAAAAUAUUGAUGAAUUAUAUAGACAUAGACAAACAGAUGAGUAAAAAAUAAAGUAUAAAAUUUUUUUUAGAAAAUUUUGGUAAAAAAAGUAACGUUAAAAAUUUUUUUUAAAAUUUUGCUAAAAGUUACAAUUAAAAUGUUUAGAAUAUUGAAUCCACUUAUAGAGUAUAACAAUAUGUUAUAUUUUUUUGCAUGUAUUCUUGUAGAUCAUCAGUUUUUUACAGAAUAAACGUUUUUUGUGAUUAUUGAUUUGGUCGUUUGAGUAGAUGUGUGAUAAUUGUUGGUAUGGUCCGUGUAUGAGCUUAGCCCCGUAUAGUCUGUGUGAGAGUAGUCCCUUGUUUUUCCAGCGAAGCCUAUCUCUGUUGGUGUAUGUCAUGCCACAGGUUAGUUGGAGAAGUCAUCCCAUUGAGAAGUCAUCCCCUUGAGAAGUAGCCCCGUGAAGAAGUGAAGAGGGAAACCGUGGAGAGGCCCCCCACUUCUGUGUUUUUUUCAAGCAGCCAGGAGAAAAGCUGUCACUUUUAGAUUUGAAGAUAGCGUUCUCUGUCGACACUGUUUGAGAAUAACUGUCUUGAAGUGUAGAAGUUAGCCCCUGAAAAAGCCCCCCCCUUGUCUGUGUUGCCCCUUGUUUUUUUUUUUUUUUUUUUUUGACUAAUCUAUCUUUGUAGGUGUCAAAAGGAUGCCAGAGGUUAGUUAAAAAGAGCCCGUGAAGUAGUAGUUGAAGUUUCCCCCCAGUGAAGUAGUUGAAGUCCCCCCGUGAAUGAAGUAUGUCUUUUUGUAUCUGACAUGUCACAAGUGUAAUACUCGUGAUGAAGGAAGUGUUGUUCAGCUAUCUGUGAACACUUUCAUUAGUAGUCGGAGCAAGAAAUGUCUUAUCCCGUGUGAGCUCAUAUAGGAACCAAAUUUCAAUAUUGUUUGUGUUUGUAAGCCCCUGAGUAUAUCUAGAAGUCAAAAAGUAUGUUGUUGUCUGUUUGUUUGUCUAUCCCUGUUUUGUCUGGAAGUUUUAGAGCCCAUUGUCUGUUGUCCCGUGUUGUCUAUUAGCCCGUGUUGUCUAUUAGCCCGUGUUGUCUAUUAUCCCGUGUUGUCUAUUAGCCCGUGUUGUCUAUUAGCCCGUGUUGUCUAUUAGCCCGUGUUGUCUAUUAGCCCGUGUUGUCUGUUAGCCCGUGUCCGUGCUGGAGUUUGAUUUUUUUUUGGCGAAUAGUUAGUUGACCUCUCUUCUCUUUGUUGAUUGAAAGUAGGCCAAGAGCAGAAGCUGUGACAAGGCUGGUGAGGUUAGGAUCUGGCCGCGUUGAGUACAGGUGAAGCUUGCUUUCGGUCGAUAAAUGGAAGCGGUUGUUCGUCAGAACUGUCAUACUUUCCAAUGUCCCUUUGGUCUUCCCCUUGCGUGUUGCUUUCAUCCCCUGUUUUGAAAAAGUAGCCCCCCGUUUUGAAAAAUAAAGUCCACCCCCAGUCUUGAGAAAUGAAAUGCCCCCAGUUUUGAAAAGUAAGUCUAUCCCCAGUUUUGAAAAGUAAAGCCCAACCCCCCUGUCUUGAAAAAUGAAGUCUAUCCCCUGUUUCGAAAAGUGAAGUGUAACCCUGUUUUGAAAAUGAAGUCUUUCCCCAGCUUGUGAUUUGAAAAUGAGAGAGUUGUCUAGUGAACGUUCAUGAAAGGUUCUUAUGUCCUGGAUUGGACUGUUGAUUGAAAACGUAAUGAUGUAGUGUUCUCUAUAUCAUAUGUUGCGUUCAUUUCCCUUAGUCUUGUUUAAAAAGUUUGAUAUCCUGUUUGAACCCAGUAUACUAGUCUUUUUGGUCUUUUGUUGUUGUCACACAUACCCCCUCCCCCUUGUUAGUCUUGUUUUGAUUUUAGCCCUUGUUGUUGUCAUAUACCCCUUUGUCUAGCCCUGUCUUGUUUGAAUGAGUUGUUGAAGUAAGUUGUUGGUGAGAUUUUGUCUCACUGAGGUGUUUAGACUGGAUUGUCUAAAUCCUCGUUUUGCAGAACCGUUGCCGAAAUGUCCCGUGAAACUCGCUAGGUGUUAGCAGAGUUUGGGCAGAUGUUUAUCUGUCAAACAUCAACUUUUUAGUUUUUGUGAACCGCUCGCGGUUAGGCAACGAGGUGACAAGGCUGUGUCUGCCCUGGUAUGUCACUUGUGUUACUGCUGUGGAUGUCAGCGAGGUCCACACAGGGCACAAGUUUAGUUUCUUUCCCAGGGCACAGAAACUCUUGUCACCUACAGUUCUUAUUAGAGUCUUAACAUUUAAGUCUACUCGACUUUAAAGAGUCUGGCGAUUGAUGGCACGCUAGCCCAUUCCCUAAUGAUGUUUUGUUUUUGUUUAAUCCCCAUUAGCCAUUAUUUAAAUAUUUUGGUAUUGUUGUCCUGUCACACCCAAGAAGUCAAUGUUGGAUUUUUGUAGUUAUCGAAAACUGAAUUGGUAAUCCAGUUUCCUCUCUUCCGAGGAGGCUAUUGUAGCAGAUGGAUUUCUACUACAAUAUUUUAUAAAAAAUAUCCAUUAAUUUUAAUCCUAUCCCAAGAAAAAUAUUAAUUUUUCUAAUAUAUUUUGCGAGUUUAUAUAUCUUUAAAAUUUCUAAGCCGCUCCUGUUCGCAUUGUAAAGGUUAGGAAAUUUCCUAUUUAUUUGUGUAGCAAUAACCAACUACGUAGAUUGUUAUUGAAAACAUCCAUUAUUCGAGAAUGAAUCCUCUAAAAGGUUCAGUGUUUUUCCUUUAAGUUUUGAGCGCUAAAAAUCCCAUGUUAUUAUUGGUCUGCAUUUUGAAAGAUCCUUGAGUUGUAGUUGACGAUUGGUCAAUAGUUUUGGCCGAACGAUCGAGAAGAAAUGCAUCGUUUGGACGCGAGAGAGACGUGACGAUGUAAAGUUAGUUCUAAAAGUACAUCACUUCAGUAAACAUCUUUUUGUUAGAACUCAACCAACAGACUCGUAGAAAGUCGCACUUUGCCGGCAAAAUGGUUUUAUUUUUAUGGUAAAAGAAGUGAAAGACUGGCAGUUUGCCCAGUAAAUGUCAACGAAUAUAAUGACAAUAGUUUCACGGCAUUUUAAUGGAUAUAUUAUUGUGAAACAGUUCUAUUGUUAUGCAGUUAGAUUUGCCGGUGGUAUAAAAAAGAAGUGCGUGGUUUCCUGGUUCCUGUCCUUUAUGUAGCUGUUGCUAUUUUUAUGAUAUAUGGAUUUGUUCAUGUUCCAGUAAGAAAUGCCCGGAUGAUAUUAUUUGGUAUCGAUUUUAUCCAGUUUUGUAAUGAUUUGAAUAUCUUCCCCUCCCAGCCCCGUCUGAAUGGAAAAUUUUGAAGUUCCAAGUGUUGUGACAUGGAUUUUUGUUUUAACAAGGUAUGAUAAUGUUUAUUUUAAAUAAUUCACAAGUGGAUAUUAUUGGUAAAGGUUUUACAUAAUUAAAAAUGUUUGUUUUCAACAUGGAAAAUAUAUUAUGUAAAGUAAAUAUUAGAUGGCAGUGACAUUUGACAGCCAUGUCAAAUUUUUGUUUUGGUACACUGCUAAAAAUAAGGUUAAAAAUUGUAAAAUCAUGUAUUUUGUUAUUAUUAUUCAUUUCUGGUUUGAGAAUGUGUCUAUUCUCAAUAAAAAUAAAAAGGUAUUAAGGUUUAAAUAAACAUUAUAAAAUGUACACAUCUUUAUUUCUGUAACCUCUUUAUUUAAGAAAAUUAUUAACAGAUAUCUAAUACAAGUGAAUAAGUUUUAGAACAGAAGAAAAUAUAAUGGCAUAGAAGCCAAAUGAUGAUAAUUUGUAGCCCACUAUAACCCCAAUGAGGAAUCUACGAUGAAUGUCCCCCAGUUUCUUUCCAGUAAGUACUCGAUAUGAGAAUUUGAGGAUUUUUCAAACGGCGUCCCAAUUUGUUUAAAUAGUAGGAAAGUCCUCAAGUCUGUCCAUUUGGGGAGAAAUAUUAGAACCUCCCAUGUAAAUCCUUCAACCACCUGGAAGGCGUCGAUUCCAGCCACGACCACAGCCAAGUCACUAUUGGGGUUUUGGGAACAAGCUUUUUGGGAGCAUUCCAGCUCCUUUUCGUCCUGCCACCUGGGCCUACGGAGGGCAUGGGGGCGCAUCAUCCUGAUGCUCAUUUCUGAGGAUGCAGCAGCAGCCUCUUUAGGAGUCGUUUGGGAACAUUUAGUGUUGUGCAUUAAGUAACUUUUGGUUUUUAUAUUUUAGACAUUUGAUUUAAUGCACCAUGUUAAUUAAUUUUUUUUCCAGAUUUAGUUUACCUCUGGUUUUUUUUUUAAUAUGACAUAUUUGUAUAUUAUUGUAUUUGGUUCCCAAACUUUGUAUCUACGGUAACUUCUUGUGCACAGGAAUAAGCCUAGAGAAAAUUAGGUUUUUAAUACUUUAUUAUUGCUUUGAUACUGGUUUAUGUAAUUCGGGUAAAUUUAUUUUGUAAUAUUACUUGCUUGUUUCCCAAAUAUUUUCUUGUUAUUCGCUUUAUUUCGAUUGUUCGGUUAAUUCGUCGUUACUUUAGUUCAUUGCAUUUUCUCGGUUAAUUUAGGUCAUCGUUUCGGUAUUAAUUACUUCAUUACUAUCACUUUAUUCAUUUGUAUAUUUAACUUUAUUUAUUUAUUAUGGUAUUUUCUCUUAGUGAGGCUUGGGCCUAUUUAUUUGUAGUAUUUUCAUCUUUGUCAGUUUCAUUUAGUUGUACGUAGCAGGCGUACUAUAACCAUUUGGUAGAAGACUCAUGUGAGUUGUACCCUAUAUAUUAGUAAGAGGUACUUAUACCUUUAAGUUUUGUAACAGGUAACAUUAUUAUUAUCUCAAAUAUAACUUUUUGUAUAACUUAUGUCAUUUUAGAGUCACAUGAUAUGCACUUUGUGUAACUCAGAGAUUGUCCAAGAUCUAGUAGUUAUUUUAAUAAAUAUUUACUUAUUUUGUUUA